GUCAUACUCCCUCCAUUCCGAAUUACUUGUCCCAGGUAUGGAUGUAUCUAGAUGUAUUUUAGUUCUAGAUACAUCCAUUUCUACGACGAGUAAUUUGGAACAGAGGGAGUACAUG
rfam:Triticum urartu cultivar G1812 contig637063, whole genome shotgun sequence.